rnacentral:misc_RNA from 1 species
UCUGGUGAUGAAGCAUCUCUGUCAAGAGGUUCAUCCGGCAUUUCAGAUGAUAUGGAGUCUUCAUCUCCUCGAUAUUUUUUGGAAUCUGAGGA